UAUUUGAUUUACUUGAUUUUAUUACAGAUUGUACAGUUCCUAGUAAUGAGAAAUGGCUAGAUGUUAUACAAUAUCAUACUUCAUGAUGUCACCAACAAUGUCAUGUUCUGAGUAUUGGGAAAUAGUUGGAGACUCAGCAGUGCAGAAACUAGUUUACUCAGAAUGUUUGUUCCAACUCACGGAUGAUAUUGUCAGAUAAGAGCACAUUGGCAAGUUGCAGACGUUGACUUUCUGAAUUACAGAAAAUAGUUUCAGUCAGGAUACCAGAAAGCAUCAGGACUUCCAGGGCAUGGCUAUAGCUCCUCCUGAAAGAACAUUAGAAACACUUGAUUAUUUGUGUGAAAUACUUUGAAAUAAAAAAGACUCUUUUUGCAUGAUUUAAUUCCUAAAGAAAAUCAAUAAACCUGAAGAAUGAUUUAU